UACGUAGGGGGCUAGCGUUGUUCGGAAUCAUUGGGCGUAAAGCGCGUGUAGGCGGUCCGGCAAGUCCGCUGUGAAAGUCGAGGGCUCAACCCUCGAAUGCCGGUGGAUACUGUCGGGCUAGAGUGCGGAAGAGGCGAGUGGAAUUCCUGGUGUAGCGGUGAAAUGCGCAGAUAUCAGGAGGAACACCUAUGGCGAAGGCAGCUCGCUGGGACGUUACUGACGCUGAGACGCGAAAGUGUGGGGAGCAAACGGG
rnacentral:rRNA from 1 species